rnacentral:lncRNA from 1 species
UAAUACAAAUAUCUGAUUUUAGGGACUCAAAUUUUAAAAUUUUAAUUUUAUUUUAGAUUUAAUUUUUAAAUUUAAAUUUAAAUUUAAAUUUUUAUUUGAAUUUUUUUGAGAGAAAAGUAGCAUGCUACCCACAUCGUUUAUUUCUUUUAGAAAUAAACUUUGUGAAAAAUGUGAAUCGAUUAGAAUUCGAAUUUGAGAUCUCGGGUACCAACCACCAAAUUCUUUGACACUUACGCUAGGGACUAUCACUUAUAUAUAUUUGAAUCUUUUAAAUUUUAAGUCUUAAAUUUUAAAACUUUAAAAUUUUAAAUUUUAAAUUCUAAAUUUAGAUACUAAAUUUAAAUUUUUAAUUUUCAAAUAUCAAAUUUUAAGUUUCAAAAUUUGUAGUUUUAAAUUUAAAAUAAAUUUAAAAUUUAAAAAAUUUAAAAAUUUAAAAUUUAAAAUUUAAAAUUUAAAAUUUAAAAUAUAAAAUUCUAAAAUUUUAAAUUUUAAAUUUUAAAUUAUAAGUUUAAUUAUUAAAAUUCUAAGUUUUGAACUUUUAAUCGUUAAUUUCAAACUUUUAAUUCUAAGUAAAAAUGGGAUAUAUUAAUAAUUAUAUAUUGAUUAAUGACGAUAUAUAGCAAUAAGUGCUGCUACUUUAUUACAUUUAGCGGCGUUCACUAAUUUACGCUACUAAUUUCUCCUAUAUUGCAACAUUAAUAGUAAAUUACUGCUAAAUUAUUAAAUCUAGAGGCAAUUAUCAAAUAAUGCUGUAAAAUAUAUUUAUUAGUAUAAUUUAAAUUAAUGCUGCGGAGUAAAUGUCACCGCAUUUAGCAAUAAGCGCUACUAUUUUGUUACAUUUAGUAUUAUUUUUUAUAAAUUGCUGAAAACUUUAGCGAUUUUUACUAAUUUACGCUGCUAAUUUAUCCUAUUUUGCAACAUUAAUAGUAAAUUGCUGCUAAAUUAUUAAAUCUAGUGGCAAUUAUCUAGUAAUGUUGCUAAAUAUAUUAAUUAGCAUGAUUUAAAUAAAUGCUGCGAAGUAAAUGCCCCUAAAUCAUGAAUUUGUUGUAGUGAAGCUUUUUUGGGAGACUACUUUUUUAUACGUCCACAUAGUGGUGAAAAAUAACACUUUAAUAUUCUCAAUCUAAAUCAAACUAGCAUUUUCAAUCCUCUCUCUCUUUUAAAUUAUUUCGCUUCCAUUUUAACUUUUUUUUAAUUAAAAGA